rnacentral:rRNA from 1 species
CAGCGGAGGGAUCAUUACCGAGUUUACAACUCCCAAACCCCUGUGAACAUACCAAUUGUUGCCUCGGCGGAUCAGCCCGCUCCCGGUAAAACGGGACGGCCCGCCAGAGGACCCCUAAACUCUGUUUCUAUAUGUAACUUCUGAGUAAAACCAUAAAUAAAUCAAAACUUUCAACAACGGAUCUCUUGGUUCUGGCAUCGAUGAAGAACGCAGCAAAAUGCGAUAAGUAAUGUGAAUUGCAGAAUUCAGUGAAUCAUCGAAUCUUUGAACGCACAUUGCGCCCGCCAGUAUUCUGGCGGGCAUGCCUGUUCGAGCGUCAUUUCAACCCUCAAGCCCCCGGGUUUGGUGUUGGGGAUCGGCGAGCCCUUGCGGCAAGCCGGCCCCGAAAUCUAGUGGCGGUCUCGCUGCAGCUUCCAUUGCGUAGUAGUAAAACCCUCGCAACUGGUACGCGGCGCGGCCAAGCCGUUAAACCCCCAACUUCUGAAUGUUGACCUCGGAUCAGGUAGGAAUACCCGCUGAACUUAAGCAUAUCAAUAAGCGGAGGAA